CAUUAGUUAACUACAAAAACAGUCUUCAUUUGAGGUUACAACGUCUGCUUUCAAAGUGUUAAACUUACAAAAUAAUAAAAAUAAUAUUAAUUUUUUGAUUCCAAACAAAGAAGCAUUAUAAUAAUAAAACAAAAUGCCUUGCCCAUGUGGAACCGGUUGUCAAUGUGGCACUCAGCCAAAGAGCGGUAAUUGCGGCUGUGGCGCGGCUUGCAAGUGCUGUCCCUGCGGAAGCGGUUGCAAGUGCGGUUCACAAACUCAGAGUGGCAGCUGUGGUUGCGGCAGUGGCUGUAAGUGUGGACAAUAAGAACACACAGUAAUCAAUUUCUAAUAAUGUACCGUAAUGUUUCACAAUAAAAAUA